rnacentral:tRNA from 1 species
GGAUUCGUGGUGCAAUGGUGGCGCGUCUGACUCCAGAUCAGAGGAUGGCGCGUUCGAUUCACGUCGGGUACA